AUACAGGGUCAGUUCCAGUACCAUAUUAUAAUGUACAGGGAUACUGGAUCUAUAGAGGUAGAUAUGUAUAGGGGUAAACAUACUAUAUACAGGGUCAGUACCAUAUUAUAAUGUACAGGGAUACUGGAUCUAUAGAGGUAGAUAUGUAUAGUGGUAAACAUACUAUAUACAGGGUCAGUUCCAGUACCAUAUUAUAAUGUACAGGGAUACUGGAUCUAUAGAGGUAGAUAUGUAUAGGGGUAAACAUACUAUAUACAGGGUCAGUACCAUAUUAUAAUGUACAGGGAUACUGGAUCUAUAGAGGUAGAUAUGUAUAGUGGUAAACAUACUAUAUACAGGGUCAGUACCAUAUUAUAAUGUACAGGGAUACUGGAUCUAUAGAGGUAGAUAUGUA
rnacentral:lncRNA from 1 species